UGGGGAAUUUUGGACAAUGGGCGCAAGCCUGAUCCAGCAAUGCCGCGUGAGUGAAGAAGGCCUUCGGGUUGUAAAGCUCUUUUGUCAGGGAAGAAACGGUAGAGGCUAAUAUCCUUUGCCAAUGACGGUACCUGAAGAAUAAGCACCGGCUAACUACGUUCCAGCAGCCGCGGUAAUACGUAGGGUGCGAGCGUUAAUCGGAAUUACUGGGCGUAAAGCGUGCGCAGGCGGUUUUGUAAGCCAGAUGUGAAAGCCCCGGGCUCAACCUGGGAAUGGCAUUUGGGACUGCAAGGCUUGAGUGCGGCAGAGGAGACUGGAAUUCCUGGUGUAGCAGUGAAAUGCGUAGAUAUCAGGAGGAAUACCGAUGGCGAAGGCAGGUCUCUGGGCUGACACUGACGCUCAUGCACGAAAGCGUGGGGAGCAAAC
rnacentral:rRNA from 1 species